GAGGAUUUAGCUCAGCGGUAGAGCACUUGCCUAGCAAGCUCAAGGCCCUGGGUUCGAUCCCCAGCUCC
rnacentral:tRNA from 1 species